rnacentral:rRNA from 1 species
UACGAGGGGGGCAAGCGUUGUUCGGAAUUAUUGGGCGUAAAGGGUGCGUAGGCGGUUUGGUAAGUCUUAUGUGAAAUCUACAGGCUCAACUUGUAGUCUGCAUGAGAAACUGCCGGGCUUGAGUAUGGGAGAGGUGAGUGGAAUUCCUGGUGUAGCGGUGAAAUGCGUAGAUAUCAGGAGGAACACCUGCGGUGUAGACGGCUUACUGGACCGUAACUGACGCUGAGGCACGAAAGCGUGGGUAGCAAACAGG